GACCUCGGAUCAGGUAGGAAUACCCGCUGAACUUAAGCAUAUCAAUAAGCGGAGGAAAAGAAACCAACAGGGAUUACCCUAGUAACGGCGAGUGAAGCGGUAACAGCUCAAAUUUGAAAUCUGGCCUUUACGGGUCCGAGUUGUAAUUUGUAGAGGAUGUUUCGGAUAAGGCUUUGGUUUAAGUUUCUUGGAACAGAACGUCAUAGAGGGUGAGAAUCCCGUCUAGAACCGAUGGCCGCAUCUAUGUGAAACUCCUUCGACGAGUCGAGUUGUUUGGGAAUGCAGCUCAAAAUGGGUGGUAAAUUUCAUCUAAAGCUAAAUAUUGGCCAGAGACCGAUAGCGCACAAGUAGAGUGAUCGAAAGAUGAAAAGCACUUUGAAAAGAGAGUUAAACAGUAUGUGAAAUUGUUGAAAGGGAAGCGC
rnacentral:rRNA from 1 species